rnacentral:tRNA from 1 species
GUCCCCGUAGCUCAAUUGGAUAGAGCGUCGGCCUCCGAAGCCGAAGGCUGCAGGUUCGAGUCCCGCCGGGGACG